CCUACGGGAGGCAGCAGUGGGGGAUAUUGCACAAUGGGGGGAACCCUGAUGCAGCGACGCCGCGUGGGUGAAGAAGCGCCUCGGCGCGUAAAGCCCUGUCAGCAGGGAAGAAAAUGACGGUACCUGAAGAAGACGCCCCGGCUAACUACGUGCCAGCCGCCGCGGUAAUACGUAGGGGGCAAGCGUUCUCCGGAUUUACUGGGUGGAAAGGGGGCGCAGACGGCGAUGCAAGCCAGGAGUGAAAGCCCGGGGCCCAACCCCGGGACUGCUCUUGGAACUGCGUGGCUGGAGUGCAGGAGGGGCAGGCGGAAUUCCUGGUGUAGCGGUGAAAUGCGUAGAUAUCAGGAGGAACACCGGUGGCGAAGGCGGCCUGCUGGACUGCAACUGACGUUGAGGCCCGAAAGCGUGGGGAGCAAACAGGAUUAGAUACCCCGGUAGUC
rnacentral:rRNA from 1 species